GUGGAACACACUAGAUAGAAGGCUCCCUCCAGAGCAAAUGAAAAUGGAUAACCACAGACCGAGGGAAACAAGGAAGGCAAUUAUGCAGAAUUGUUAUCCCAGGAAGGAAGGAAGGAAGGAAGGAAAGUCUCCCUGUCUGGAACCGUGGACAGCUGCUGCAAUUUGGUGUCACCAGUACUGGGAUUCAGCUUCAGUUUGUUGGCUCACAUCCAGCCCAUCACUGCCUCCAGAAACCUGUGUAUGUACUGCUUGAUGAAACU